rnacentral:misc_RNA from 1 species
AAAUGCGAUAAGUAGUGUGAAUUGCAGAAUUCAGUGAAUCAUCGAAUCUUUGAACGCACAUUGCGCCCUUUGGUAUUCCUUAGGGCAUGCCUGUUCGAGCGUCAUCUAAACCUUCAAGCCCUGCUUGGUGUUGGGUGCCUGUCCCGCCUCCGCGCGCGAACUCACCUCAAAUCCAUUGGCGGCCCCCGCUUCGGCCACGAGCGCAGCAGAAACGCGAACUCGUGAGCCCGUCCGGGCGGCUCCCAGAAGCUACACCCACCCAGUUUGACCUCGGAUCAGGUAGGGAUACCCGCUGAACUUAAGC